AAUUUAAUAUUAAUUAGGUUCAAUUAUCUAAAUCAGAUUUAAAUUUCAAACUUGAUUGGAUCAGGCUUGACAGCCUUUCGAAUUUGACUCGAUUCGGACUCGAUUUGAAUCCAAUUAAGAUCUAAUUUGAACCAGAUAAACCAUGACUCAGAGAACCCAAGUUCUCUAAGACUCUUUCUCUAGAUAUCAUGAAAAGAAGGAGAGGAAGCGCAUAAAGAUGGCCCCCU
rnacentral:lncRNA from 1 species